rnacentral:rRNA from 1 species
UACGUAGGGACCGAGCGUUGUCCGGAAUCAUUGGGCGUAAAGAGCGUGUAGGCGGUUUGUCGCGUCUGCUGUGAAAACCCGGGGCUCAACCCCGGGCCUGCAUUCGAUACGGGCAGACUAGAGUUCGGUAGGGGAGUCUGGAAUUCCUGGUGUAGCGGUGAAAUGCGCAGAUAUCAGGAGGAACACCGGUGGCGAAGGCGGGACUCUGGGCCGAUACUGACGCUGAGGAGCGAAAGCGUGGGGAGCAAACAGG